GAUGAACGCUGGCGGCGUGCCUAAUACAUGCAAGUCGAGCGAACAGACGAGGAUCUUGCUCCUCUGACGUUAGCGGCGGACGGGUGAGUAACACGUGGAUAACCUACCUAUAAGACUGGGAUACCUUCGGGAAACCGGAGCUCAUACCGGAUAAUAUAUUGAACCGCAUGGUUCAAUAGUGAAAGACGGUUUUGCUGUCACUUAUAGAUGGAUCCGCGCCGCAUUAGCUAGUUGGUAAGGUAACGGCUUACCAAGGCGACGAUGCGUAGCCGACCUGAGAGGGUGAUCGGCCACACUGGAACUGAGACACGGUCCAGACUCCUACGGGAGGCAGCAGUAGGGAAUCUUGCGCAAUGGGCGAAAGCCUGACGGAGCAACGCCGCGUGAGUGAUGAAGGUCUUCGGAUCGUAAAACUCUGUUAUUAGGGAAGAACAAAUGUGUAAGUAACUAUGCACGUCUUGACGGUACCUAAUCAGAAAGCCACGGCUAACUACGUG
rnacentral:rRNA from 1 species